rnacentral:rRNA from 1 species
UGGGGAAUUUUCCGCAAUGGGCGCAAGCCUGACGGAGCAAUACCGCGUGAGGGAGGAAGGCUUUUGGGUUGUAAACCUCUUUUCUCAAGGAAGAAGCACUGACGGUACUUGAGGAAUCAGCAUCGGCUAACUCCGUGCCAGCAGCCGCGGUAAUACGAAGGGGGCUAGCGUUGUUCGGAAUUACUGGGCGUAAAGCGCGCGUAGGCGGACUGGUCAGUUGGGGGUGAAAUCCCGGGGCUCAACCUCGGAACUGCCUUCAAUACUGCCAGUCUCGAGUCCGGGAGAGGUGAGUGGAAUUCCUAGUGUAGAGGUGAAAUUCGUAGAUAUUAGGAAGAACACCAGUGGCGAAGGCGGCUCACUGGCCCGGUACUGACGCUGAGGUGCGAAAGCGUGGGGAGCAAACAGGAUUAGAUACCCGCGUAGUCC